UGAUAGCACCACCCAGAAUAUUCUUGUGGUUUACUAGUCAUGAUUGGCUUGAGGAGAGUUGAGAUCAGGUGAUACAUGGAGUUUUGGUAUAAGACUAUGUCAUAGUCGGCCUAUGAGAUGUGAAAACACAGCCCUCCCAUUAUUUGUUCUAUUUCCUAAGUAUAUGAUUGAAUUAGGAAUCCUCAGCAAUUUCAAAAAUAGUAUGAAGAUUGUCAAGGAAGAAGAGUCAAGUGGUAGACGUGGAAUACUAGUUCCCUACCAAAAUGAUUGUUACGGUAUUCUCUGACUUUUAAUGGAGCAUGUGUAGCCUCACAGUCUGACAAAUCUGGCAAGAUUUCUUAAAAGAAACAGAAGUAACACUCUUUGACCAACAGGUGUUUUGUUAUUCUCACAGGUCCAAUCAAAUGAUGCCAGAUGCCAUAGAACAUUUUGUAUCAUUACUUUUGGUCUCGUAUCUUUGUGCCUUGAUGUUGGGUAAAUUGGAGGAGCAAGGUAGUUCCUGGACACAUCAUUUGUACACU